ACUCACGUUGCCAGGAUGCUACUAGGGAGGAGACGGUGAUGCAAAUCCUAGAUUUGUGAUUUGAUGGCUCCCCUGCUCCUCUUGCUGGCUCAGCCAAUCAUUUCUGAACUCCACCAAACUGGUGCCAUGAUGACUUUAUCUUUGGAGAAGGAAAUAAAGACAAUAUUAGCAAAAUUACCAAGAUAUUUACAAUGGAAGUAGCAGAUAAGAAUUUACUAUGGACCUGUCAUAUUUCAAAACCAUGAAGCAACCUAAAGUGAUACCAUCAGCAAGAAGGUCUCUUUGCAUUUAAUCCUGGAGCCACAUGAUCCAGGGAUGAGCAAAGUAAGAUACUAUGAGUUUAAACAGCUUUCUCUAAAACCCUACAAGAGAUGAUUAUCAUGAUUCCAAUGUGACAGAUAAGGACAUUGAGGCACAGAGAAGUCAAGCACAUUACUCAUGUUGCCCAGCUAGUUUGACCGGAGCUGUGAAGAUUUGUCAGAG